GGGGGUGUCAGGCCUCCGCCCGCGCCCCGCCGCCGUGGCAGCAAGCCCGUCCCGCGGGAGAGGGGCUGUGAGGAGAGAACCGGCCCCACGCCCGCCCCGAGGGGCCGCACCUGAGGGCGCCGUGGCGGCCGGUGAGGUGCCGGAGCGCGCUGCGAAUCUUCUGGGAAAGAAAAACAGCAGCACUGGACAAACUUUAAAAUAAUUUUAAACUUCAUUGUCUAUGAAGGUGAAACUGACCCUCUCUUAAGCCUAAAUCAAGGAAAGAGAAAAAAGAAAUUUCCAUCUUCAGCUCUGGAAACUUCAUCUGUCUCCUGGGUACUGUCUUCAGCUGGCAUAUGUCGUCAGACAGUGCUGAAACCUUACCAUAUUUCUGAAGGAUCCAUUCUUCAACACCAGACUGCCAACUUGAGUGUCAAAAUCCCAAACGACUUGAGGGCAAACAAUCACAACAAUUGCCUGGGGACCUUGCACAAUGUUGUCAGGGUUUUGUCAAACAAGCAAACAAAAAAGGCAGGCUCUUAAAAGAUUUGGAAUGGUGGAAGGUGACCCAGUCUGGGACAAUAUGGGAACAGAAGGAAAAGCUUGCUACAUUUUUCUCUAUCAAGAAAUACUACCUAAAGUUAUGACAAGAAGCCAAUGCUCCAGCCAUAUGCAGGGACAGGUUGCUGGAGGAUUGGGAACACUGACAGAUACCUGGCCUCCAGAGGAGGUUGGGAGUGUCUGAGCAAGAAGAUGAUCUUUGAAUGCAAGUCCCCAAAAAUCCCAAGGCCUCUCUUCUACCUUUAGAGUCGCCACAUGACAGGAGCUGCAUUUUUUAUAUCCAGGAAAAGACAGCUGUAAAUAUGAGAUGAAGGACUGUCUGGCAUUCUUCUAAAUCUGAGGAUACUCCGGUUAUUUUGCAGAAGUACGGUUUCACCGGCGGAUAGAGAGACCGGAGGGAAGAGCGUAUGUGCCGCGUACGUGCCGUGACGAGCAUGACGCAAGGGAUGUCCGGCCACGACUGUCACGAGCGGGACGUGCCCGACGAGGUGCCCGCUGAAGCCUGGUGCAGGUCUGCCUGCUCAGAUGCCCCCCAGACACCAUGAUAAAGGUCUCUAAUGGUUUGGGGGGAGGAAACCAGCGAUGGUAAAGACUGGUUCGUGCAGGAAUAUUUUGCUUAGGACUGGCUUCGGCCGUGACCCAGACGGGAGCUGCACACCGAGAGUACUGCAGCUGCGCCCGGGUCUUGGAGGCACGGGAACUACGCUGAGGGAUUUUUAAAGGAAGGGCAUCCCAUAGUGCGCAUUUGCUGGGUGUUCCCUGUUUCUUUCCAAUACCGAUCCCACCCAGGGUGAUACGUGGGAGUGCAGAUGGGUGCGUGGGCCUGGUUUACGGCUGGGCAGAGGCACGGCUGCUUCAGAGCUGCCGUGGCCAGAGAGCGGCUGAGGGGCAGAUCGUCCCCCAGGAGCUGAGCUUCGAGGUGGGGUUCAGCCCACUAAACCUCAGAGAAACGUGGGCUUCUCCACUUACUGGGGAGACACGGAUGUUCUUCUCACCUCUCAUUUGAUGGACUGAGUUUUCCUCUGGAGGAAGCCCUCUGGUUCCAUCGAUGACGGAUUGAACUGGAGGAUGUGCUUAAAUUAGGUGCCUAAUUUUUAUGUGCCUGUGAUAAGAAUCCUGUGCCUAACCACAUCAAGAACUUUUAAAAAUCCUGUUAAGCAUUUUCUUGAAUCUCCUGAUGCCUAAAAAUAUUUGAAAAUCCAGCCCCAGCUAUUUCCUUAGCGAAAGAUGAGUUUAACCUUCAUGUUUAGUGUACUCCAAAAUUAAGGCAUCGUGACUCAUGAUGAAUCAUGAGUACUCUAGGAGAUCUCAAAAGUUUUUUCAUCGUUUUCGCUGUCUGAAAAGGAGAAAGUUUCGUAGGAAGAGGUAGGCUUCAGGAGCUGUCAUGUGGUAUGUAAAAACACACCAGGAGGGCAGAAGGCAGUAUUCCAAGGUCUGGGAGUUUUUUGUCCUUGCAAAUCAAGAGGGUCACAUAGAGGUUAAAUUCCUGGGUAAACAUUUAUUUUAUUUUCUUCAGCACUGAGGAGUAAAAAUAGACAAAAUAGAGAACUGCUGUUAUUGCCAGAGUGGGUCAGACAGUUCUAGCACAGUCCAGCACAGAAAUACAUACAUACUUAUUCAUUACUUUAGGCCAGCUCCGCAAAUAGCCUGAUUUGUGGCUACUUUUUGCAAUUAUUUUCAGGAAAAAAACUUCCACAGUCUUACAGUAAAUAAUUCAUGAGAGUAUUUAUCUAAAACUCCUCCUCCACUGGCCCCGUAAUUACUUGCUCUUUAAACAAUUCCUGUGGUUUGUAUACGUGUAACUGAUUGUGUCUCAAUCGCCUAUGACAACAUAAUACAGGUAAUUUUCUUUGGCUGCAUUACUCUAUCAUUACUUUGGCUCUCUGCUUAAUAUGUCACAGUAAUGAAUGUAUAACAAUGCCUAGUAACUUCUCCCCUGCUCUUCUACUAGUUAUUUAAAGUGAAGGGAGGGGGGCAGAGACUGAAGUCUAAUUAAUAAUAUGUUCAUUUCAGCUUUGUAAUGAGAAAGAGAAAGGAAAAAUAUGAAGAUGGCUGUUUAUUUCUUAAGCCAAUAUAGCUUCAGUCCACGAUUAUGGCUGGCAAUGUGACUCUAUGUGGCUAUUUCAUUGUGGGUACAUAAAAAACAGCAAAGAAAAUGAAGUGUAAAAAAACCAGACAAGCAGCAGGAGGAAAACAUUUCAUCUUGUACACAACUAAAUGGGAAAAGAGACAAGCAGGCAACAGAUGACAGAUGAAUGGGCCUAUGAUGGACUGCAUUUUUGUGUCAAAACAGAGCCAACUGUCUAACAGUCAUUCAGAUGGUAGGAGAGGCACCACACAGCAUGAUUUCCAGUUCAGCUGGCACUUAGGGGUUUAAUUAUGUACAUGGUAAAUAUUCUGCGAGGACAAUAUCCUGGCUUCAGAUACAGGCACCCAAAGCCAAGGCUUCUUUCUAGCUCUGCCUCUCCUACUGUUCUUAGUUUUCACUCUGAACUGAUAUAAAACUGUGCUGUGAAUUCCCAGGGAUGAGGGAAGCUGUCACAAAUGCCACACCACCCUUCCCCAUCCCUGCCACACGGAGAACAUUAAUUCCCCUGUUUGUCCCUCGCAGGGGUCCUGUGCUCUGACAUGAGUCCUGCUAUCUGACACGAAGUGGUUUGAAAAGACAAAUAAGGCUGGCUCAGGGCUAGUUUUUACAUUGGCAGGUGGAUAUAACCUCCACAGUCCACUUGGUUCCUCCUCUUCUCUCUGACCGUCCUGUAGCCUGAGCAAUGUAGCUCGGCACAGACAUUUUCCUUGCAACUGAAUUGACACUGAAAGUGUCAGAUAGAACCUAAUGAUGAGAAGCAAGGAUUUCUGACUGGUCAACUUUCAACCUGGAAGGAAAAGCAAGACGCUUUUUGCAAAGCACAGCAAGAAAUAAUUGCUUAUUUAUGAAUACGUAAUAUUACAGCGUAACUAGUACUGUAUGAUUAGUAGUAAAUGGCUUUGUUAACUGUAUUAGAGCAUUCCUGUGCACACAACUGUCAUGGGUUGGUAGAAGCCCACUGAAUGGCAGAUAGAGCAAUCACUUCCCAUUAUCUCUGAUUUCUUUCACACUGCCUCCAACUCUGCUUUUGCUGGUGUAAAAUCAGCAGUAACUUCACUGAAGUCAAUGAAGCUAAACAAGUUGUCCAGUGUUGAGCCAGCAUCCCUCCAGCUGACCCAGCCUCACAGAAGGUCUGCCACCCAGAAGGGCUCCUUUGGGGACUUCAUCUGUUCAUUGUUUUCUACAGAGCAAUGUUCAGACCAAGAAGAAAGGGUUGGGUGCAAUGUUUGGAAAUAUUCUGCUUUGGCUAUUUCAAGGCUAAGAAGAGCUCUUCUCCUUGACGGCCAUAAUCACUGUGAGGCUUUGACCAGUGGAAAUACUUAACCUGCUGUUAAAUCCAAGGUGCUGCUUGUAAGAAACAGGUACCUUUCUAAUACAGUUCUAGUCUUUGAGCAAGUAGCCUCAGAGUGGGGAUGAAAGGACUGGCUCUGCAAGAGCAGAAAGAUGUCAUGUCUUCUCCAGGCUGAGUUUCCUUCUGGCUUUUCUUUUUAAGUUUUUAGACAUUAGGAAAGUGAUGUAGCCUGCAGAUUAGGCUGUUCUCAGUGUGUAUAGACUGGAGUCAUAUGCAUACCCCUAAGCCCUUGGAUUCUGGUUCUGUGGGAAAGAUAAAUGAAGAGAUGGAAGAGAGGGACUGGGGUGCUCUUUGGGGCUCUGUAAAUAUUUCACCCUUUGCAAAAUAAAUUUCAGUACUUGAGACCUCACUGGUUUGUUCAAUUUAGUGCCUCUUAACAAAGGUGGCAGAUCAUUUUUCUGUACUGAUUUGUUGAGACCAUGUUGCUGCUGUGUCCUGACUGAUCCUGACAAGAAUGCACAGGGACUCUCCUUCAGUAGCUCCUUUCCUUCUUUGCUGAUAAGCACCAAAGAAAGGUUCAGGCAGUUGAUCAUUUGUGUCAAUGACCUUCUGGGGUAUUCCCCAGCUGUCCAGGCUUGUCCCUCUCGUUAUUUGCAUGUGUGAUCAGAGAGAACAUGAGACAGCUGUGGGGCAGAAAUGCUGGCUGUAAAAGUACCUCUAGUUCUCUUUCCAAAGACAAGUUUUCCAGAGAUGAGGAUUUGCCUAGGAAUUUACAAAAAAAUUCCUCUUCUUUCCCUUGGCAGCAUUUUCCUUUCCAUUUUAGUAAUCAGAAUAACAAAAUUAUCUCCCCCAGUUCACUGAUUCCUUCCUUGCCAGACUUUCAGCUUACCUGGAGUUUGAUUGACCUGUGAAAUGUAAAACUCAAGGAAAGCAUUCACUUUCUACCCACGCUCUUUGUUUCAUGAGAAUAAACUGAACUAACACAAACUGUGACUUUUCCAGUACAAAAAUAUUUAAGUGGAAAAUUUUCAUCUGGUUCUACAAAAGCUGGUGACUGCAGACAGGGCCUGCAGCACGUGGGGAGCGAUGAGAGGGGCAGGAAGGAUGGCUGCCCACCACAUGGCCUGGUACCACCUCCUUACACAUCCAACUAAGUCUGGCCCUGUGCUUAUAACAGGUAUUCUUCCUCUUCUGCCCUCGCGGCUAGCUUGCCAAGCUGUUUCUUUCUGGAAUAGGGCACGGCUUCUCGCUAACUCCGUUGUGGUCAUCAGAGGAAAUGGAAGAUCCCUUCCGUACUUGUGCAGUUUUCCCAUAGCUUUUAGGAACAAUUUGAGAAGUUGUCUCUGAUUUACAAAGCCCUUCCAGCUGUGGGCUGUGC